AACGAACGCUGGCGGCAUGCCUAACACAUGCAAGUCGAACGAAACCGCCGGGUCUUUGGGCGCACGGGUUUGUAAGGCGGGGGAAGCUUCCCUUAUGUUCCGAAUACCUCUCCGAGAGGGGUGCUAAUGCAGCAUAAUCUCUUCCGACCAAAGAUUUAUCGCCUUUGGUUGGGCCCGCGUUGGAUUCGGUAGUUGGUAGGGUAAAAGCCUAGCAUGGGGUCGAUUCUUAGCUGGUUUGUGAGGCAGCUCCGCCACGCUGGGACUGAGACACGGCCCAGAAUCGUACGGGAGGGAGCAGAGGGGUAUAGAGGACAAUGGGCGAAGGGCUGAAGCAGCCAUGCCGGGUGAGAGAGGAAGGGGGUAGUGUUGUGAUGUUCUUUUAACCGGGAUGAUAAUGACGGUACCGGGAGAAUAAGCACCGGCUAACUACGUG
rnacentral:rRNA from 1 species